rnacentral:rRNA from 1 species
AACGAACGCUGGCGGCAUGCCUAACACAUGCAAGACGAACGAGAUCUUCGGGUCUAGUGGCGCACGGGUGCGUAACGCGUGGGAAUCUGCCCUUUGGUUCGGAAUAACAGUUGGAAACGACUGCUAAUACCGGAUGAUGACGAAAGUCCAAAGAUUUAUCGCCAGAGGAUGAGCCCGCGUAGGAUUAGCUAGUUGGUGUGGUAAAGGCGCACCAAGGCGACGAUCCUUAGCUGGUCUGAGAGGAUGAUCAGCCACACUGGGACUGAGACACGGCCCAGACUCCUAUGGGAGGCAGCAGUGGGGAAUAUUGGACAAUGGGCGAAAGCCUGAUCCAGCAAUGCCGCGUGAGUGAUGAAGGCCUUAGGGUUGUAAAGCUCUUUUACCCGGGAUGAUAAUGACAGUACCGGGAGAAUAAGCUCCGGCUAACUCCGUGCCAGCAGCCGCGGUAA